UUAAAUGGUUGGUGUGAGAAGGUGAAUUCUCCCCCUCCUCACCGUGGCAAAAAAAAACAUGGUGCCCUAAGACUUUUGGACUCCACCCCAUAAUGGUUGGGGCUGGGCUCACCUGAUGCCAAUGUGGGAGUUAAUUAAGCCAACGUGGCUGUGCCCUAUUUAAGAGGUGCCUCAUUUGCAAGAGGGAGGCAGGCUGAGAGACACACAACAGAGAGGCAGCGGAGAGGAAUGAUGAGAGUCCAGUUGCCACAUCCCCAAACAACGUGGGGUGACCGUCCGGUCCUUCACAUUUGGUGGCAGCGGUGGGAUGUGACGCUGACCGAGACACUGGAGGUGAAGGGGAGCAGAAGACCAGCACCGGCAGGAGAUGGCCUACCUGGGGCCAGCCAGGAACAGCGCCGGAGGAGGAUCCACCCCGCAGCGGCGCAGAGCAGUUGGGCCGGCUUGUCCCGCCACUGGGUGGCGAGACUCCAGAAGGGGAGGGAAAUGUGAGAAGGUGAAUUCUCCCCCUCCUCACCGUGGCAAAAAAAAACAUGGUGCCCUAAGACUUUUGGACUCCACCCCAUAAUGGUUGGGGCUGGGCUCACCUGAUGCCAAUGUGGGAGUUAAUUAAGCCAACGUGGCUGUGCCCUAUUUAAGAGGUGCCUCAUUUGCAAGAGGGAGGCAGGCUGAGAGACACACAACAGAGAGGCAGCGGAGAGGAAUGAUGAGAGGUAGUAGGGUAAAACACUUCCCUGUUUUUAGAAGGUGUAUGUGUUCUCUGUCUAGAUGUGUGGACAGCGUUGGCCCUGUUUUAUGCCUGUUCCUUUGUGCUUGUUCUGUGUGCCUUGUUUCUGUGCCUUGUCUGUGUGCCUUGUGAUGUGUUAAGUUCAUGUGUUUAUUUUGGUGGCUAGCUAUGUACUUAGCUUCGGACUUAGUGCCUGGGCCUAGUUUGGGGGCCUGGCUUGGGCCUUGAGCAGGUGCCGGUACUUGGGCCUAAUCGGCCAAGCAGGUGCCCAGGGUGCCACGCACUUAAGUUCCGGGCGGUACGGCCUGAAUGGUUUUGUUUGUUUAUUUUGAGGGCACUGUUGGGGUUAGUCCCCGUGUAAAUAAAUAUAUAUAUAUUUUUAUAUGAAAACCA
ensembl:lncRNA